GGAACUUGUAUUUAGGAAAUUAGAAAACAUUGAUUGCUGGGAGUAGGAUCUGGGCAUGAAAUUUCAAUAUCUUGUGUUCAACAUCAAAAGUGUUUUAGCUCUGCCACCAAGUGGAUAGAGCACACAUGAUGGGAAGAGGGACUAUUUUGCUUCUGAUUGUGGGGGCCCUUGGGGCUUAUUAUUUUUAUAUACCCCUUCCAGAUAAUCUUGAAGAAACUUGGAAAGUUCUGUGGAUGCACACACAUAUGAAAACUCUCACAAACUUGGGUCUGUUUGUUGAGUUUUUGGGAAUGAAUCAUUUCAUGAUCAGUGCCAAGUUCCUUAUGAACUUUCAAGAAGUCCCACCCACUUCAGAUGAAAAUGUCUCUGUGAUGGAAACAACUUUUGACAACAUUCCUGUACGUGUCUAUCUACCGAAAAGAAAGUCAGAGAUGCUAAGAAGAGGAUUAUUUUACAUUCAUGGUGGUGGUUGGUGUUUGGGAAGUGCUGCUUUGCUUACAUAUGACGUUCUGUCAAGAAAGACAGCUGAGAGACUGGAUGCCAUUGUCAUUUCAACUGACUACAGAUUAGCACCUGAAUAUCACUUCCCAAAUCAAUUUGAAGAUGUCUACAAUGUACUCAAGUGGUUCUUACAUCAAGAUGUUCUUGAAAGAUAUGGCGUAGAUGCUGAGAGAAUUGGUGUUGCUGGAGACAGUGCUGGAGGGAACUUAGCUGCAGCAGUAGUACAACAACUUCGAGAUGAUCCUGAUGUCAAGGUCAAAAUCAAGAUCCAGGUUUUAGUUUACCCUGCUCUCCAGACUCUGGAUUUUGACUCUCCAUCUUAUAGAGAAAAUGGACAUUUCCCACUGUUUACCAAGUCACUAACGGUCAGAGCCUGGAGUGAAUACUUUACCACAGACAGAUCACUGGAGAAAGCUAUGCUUUCCAACCAACAUGUACCCCUAGAAUCAAGCCAUCUAUUCAAGUUUGUUAACUGGAGCUCCUUGCUUCCUGAGAGGUUUACAAAAGGACAUGUUUACAACAAUCCAACAUUUGGUGGUUCUGAGCUAUCCAAAAAAUACCCAGGGUUUCUAGAUGUGAGAGCAGCCCCCCUGUUGGCUGAUGACAGCAAGCUUCGUGGUUUACCUGUGACCUAUAUCCUCACGUGUCAGUAUGAUGUCUUAAGAGAUGAUGGUGUGAUGUAUGCGACCCGACUUCGGAAUGCUGGAGUUAGGGUGACCCACAACCACAUUGAGGAUGGAUUCCAUGGGGCACUUUUCUCUCAUGAACUGAAAAUUGGAUCUAGAACUGAAAAUCAGUAUAUCAGUUGGCUAAGUGAAAAUCUAUAGUCAAAUUCUGAACAGUGGUUUAUUAAAAUUAUAUAAACCUCAGAAUGGAGAACCAAUUCAUGAGAAUCAAAAAUUAUGGUUUGGAAAAAUAUUAUCACUGGUGAUCUUCCUAAGGUCCUGAAUAGACAACACUUAUUUAAAAAAAAAAACCAGAAUCAUACAUCAUUUCUUAAUCUAAGUUUUAUUUACUCAUGAUAUGCCAUAGAAAAAUAUUUGUGUCACUCUGUGCUCACAAAAGAAUUAUGGGACCGCCGUUAGGAUCCCGGUUCGAGCCCCCGGCUCCCCACCUGCAGGGGAGUCGCUUCACAGGCGGUGAAGCAGGUCUGCAGGUGUCUAUCUUUCUCUCCCCUUCUCUGUCUUCCCCUCCUCUCUCCAUUUCCCUCUGUCCUAUCCAACAACGAAUUGCGUCAACAAGGGCAAUAAUAAUAACCACAACGAGGCUACAACAAGGGCAACAAAAGGGAGAAAAAAAAAAAAUGGCCUCCAGGAGCGGUGGAUUCAUGGUGCAGGCACCGAGCCCAGCAAUAACCCUGGAGGAGGAAAAAAAAAAAAAAGAUAAAAAUAAU